AAUUAAAGUUUUAACGAUUUUGAAUAUUUUACAGCAGAAACAAAUCAUUUCUAUAUUAAUUAUUAUAUUUUGAAAAUAUGAUAUUUUUAAUAUUUUUUUUUCUUCACUUUAUAGGAUCGAUUGUGCAUGGUCCUUCUGGUCCUGUGGUUGCUCCUCUGGGAUCUUCAGUGGUUUUGCCCUGUUAUGUUGAUGAACUCUUAGUAAUGGAGGAUCUGGAGGUGGAAUGGAGAAGAACAGACUCAGAGACUCUGGUUCAUCUGUAUCAAGAUGGUGAGAGUCGAUCAGAGGUCCAGCAGCAGGAUUAUCAUGAAAGAGCUCAUUUCUUUACUGAUCAGAUUCAACAUGGAAACUUCUCCCUCCGUCUGGACAAUCUGAGAGCUGAAGAUGAGGGAGAAUAUGUAUGUACAGUUUAAAGACAGGAGGAUUAUGUGUCCUUACCCAAGAUAAAUUUGGAACUGAGUCUACUUGAUUUAUUUUUCCAUCUUCAGAUGUUUCUAGUGGUCUUUCCAAAUAUGAUCAUGUUUUUUGCUUUGUCUUGUGGGGUGUUUCUGAAGGUGAGUUUUGUAAAUUAUUAUAUCAUAAUAUAAAUAAUAUAGCUACUUAAUUACAAGAAGAAGUGUGCCUUUGUGUGUAACAAGAAAAAAGCUUUCAUUGUGUUGCAAUGAUGAUAAUAAUCACACUCUUUCAGCCAUUUACUUUGUGUUUGUAGGAUUGAAUUCAUGAGUAUAUUAUCUGGUUUUGUUUUAGGAUCUGUGAAUGAGUCGGUUUGUUGUUGUGCUCUUUAUUUUCUGAGGCCUCUCAUUUUACUCUGGGCUUUUCCAUAUGUGAAUGAGUUCACAGGCAACAUUAAAACGUGGAUUUUGAAAUACAGUUAUUCUGCAGAAUAUUUAGUUCUCUCAAUUGUUGUUUAUUCAGCUCUUUUUGCAAGUGUUUGGGAAAAACUUGUGAAUUAUGCUGAGUUUGACAGAUUCGUGAUAAUAGUCCUGUUUUUAAUCAUGUUUAUGUGCUGCAUUUGCAAAAUCAUUUAUCGUAAGUAUUUCUGUGUGAUUCAUUCCCAUCAGUCGUCAGGUACUUGAUUGCUCCUGAUAAUAAUAAUAAUAAUAAUAAUAAUAAUAAUAAUAAUAUAUAUGUGUUAAAACUCUCUCAGUCACAUGCAGAUUCACUCAGUUUAUAUGCUUUUGUUGUUGAUUUUAUUGUUUAGUGUUCUGAAACUGGAUCAGAUCAGAUCUUAAUUGUUUCUUCAUUUAGUUGCAGUUACAGAGGUCGGAAAGAGAAGUGGACAGAUAAUUGAAAUAUUUGACUUAGUGGCUGAUACGAUCUUUGAUAUUCUGCCUGCUUUACAAUUCAUCCUCCUCUUCUUCACUUUUGCAUCUGUCAGAGGAGGAUUCAUCAUUGUUGUCAUUUUACCAGUGUUACUGAUGAUGACAAAUGACAGAUGUUUUUUCAGAUGGUUUGAUAGACUCAGGUGUUCAUUUUCAGUCAUAAGAACAGUGAUGUUAAUCAUCAUGAUAGCGAUUAUUGCAGCGAUGAUCGGACUUUACAUAAUGACACUUGGAAAUAAAACUGAUGCUGCUGGAUGGGGCUGUGUGAUUGCGUUUCUGCAGAUACUCUGGAUGGUUAUGAAGUUUACAGGCUAUUAUGGCUUUAUUGCUCAGGGUACAGUAUUGAUCAUCUACUUUGAUCAGCUCUCCUGUCUGAUUUUUCUGCAUCAGUGAGAACAUGUAAAGAUUUGAGCAGUUUAUGAUCGUUGUUUCAAUAUUAAAUAAUAGAUUUUUAAAUAUUUUUGUGUCUCUCAAGGUAAACUGAUGCAGUUGUUUUUAUGUUAAAUGUCUAAAAUUGCAUUGCAGAUUUUCCUCGUGUUGUUCCUGUCUAUGUGUUUGGAUCAGUUGGUGUUGUGUUACUGAACUCUGUUGCUCUGAUGACUGAACUGAUACUGAAAACAGGUGAGUGAACAUCAUACACUUUAUUAUACAAUAUGUGAUAUAGUUUGAGAGAAAUAUUCCAUAAUUCAGAAAAUGCAUAGCAAAUAUAUGCUUUAAACACAUAUUAAUCGAAUAUGAAUUAAUUUAAACUGUAUUUACCUGUAGUAAUUGUACUGUUAACAAUGCAUUCGUUUCUGGAUAACAGUGAUGAUUUUAUAUAUAUAUAUAAUCAUCAUAUAUAUAUAUUUUAUUAUUAAUGUAUCCACAUUUAUUUUUGGUCAGUUAAUGGUGCUCGUACAGUGGGAGAUCUGAGGUCUGUUGUCUUUCCUUCUGAAUGCUUCUUUGCCUUAUCUGUGGUGAUUGCAGGAAUAUUUCCAUCUGGUGAGUAUAGAUCACAAUUGUUUCUAUUACAUAACAUUGAAUUACAGUUAAAUCACAUAACAUGGUCUUCCUUUAUUUUACAUCUCUGAAUCAUUUGUUUCAAGCUCCAUUCAGUAAAUAAUCAGUCCUUUAGUUUCUGCUAGAGCUGCUGUUAAAGUGUCUAAAGUCUGAUUUAAUCACUUAUUUAACACACAGAUUGUGCUGUGUGUCUCUGCUUGGGGGUUGAUUUGUCACAACCCUUAAAAAAAACCUAGAACCUUUUAAUGCUGAAAUCCUAAAAUAAUCUGAUGAGUGUUAAUGAGAACUGCUCACAGUGAACAUGAACAAAUCUAUAUAUUAUUGACACCCUGCUUCACUAUAUCAGGGAUCUUUUGAUGUCAGCAAUUAAAUUCAAAGUUUUCAAUCUGAAAUGGCUUGAAAUUUUUAACAGUGUGUCGCACUUGAAAAGAAAACAUUAAAAAUAAUUACUAAUAAACCAUUCAAAAAAGGUCCA
ensembl:lncRNA